AAUCAUCUUAUUAAAAUCUAAUAUAAAAAUAGUUGUUUUAAAGGUUUCGUAUUUAAUUUUCUUUGAUUACAGUUUUUUAAAUGUAAAAGUAUUUGUCACAACCAUUUCGCAUUUAAUUUUACUGUUUCUCCAUACGAUGACAGAGAAGUUGACGCUUACAUUUUUCCAUCGAUCAUUCUAACAGAAACACGUGUUGCGUGCGCAAAUACUUUAAUUUGGGUUUUAUAGUGAAGCUGCGCAAAAGGAGCUUACAUAGUUUGCAUUUGCAUUAGUGUGCCUGCCGCAUCGCCCGCUGCUUACGGAGGCUGUUUAAAAGGGACUUCCACAGAUUUUUUUUAUAUAAAAGACGACAUUUGCGAAAAGUCUACUCUGCAGUUUACGCUAUGAGUGAGGAGUUGAUACCAUCAACUGUGCUGUUGUUAUUUGCCGAGCAAUGUCCGUUGGGAGAUGGGUCCCCUACAACGGAAAAUGUCGACAAUGAGAUUUGUCGUCAAAUGCAUUGAUACAGUUCAAUAGAUGUGGUUUAAAGAGUGUAGCAAUUUUGCAGAUGAUCCAUUCCCACGACAUUGACGAAAUUUUUAAUGCCAGAGAACUAAUUGCGGACAAAAUUAAGUUCCGGUACAACUUGCAAAAAUGGCGUUUAGAAAAUAAUUUCGAUAUGCUCACGUGCUGCAGUGGUGAUAGAACUAUAACAAACCUUUCAUCCAUUCGAAGCUGGCUGAGCUCUGCAAGCACACCUUCAACAUCCCCAAACAACGAACCCAACGUCGAAGAGGUUUUAAAAGAAACAGUAGCAGGUAACGACAUAAUAAAGAAGUACGAAAACUGUGGUUGCCUCCAAGAAAGUGACCAAUCUGCAAUAGUUCGCAUUAUUGUGGAUAAUUACUUAAUACAUGAUAUUAAAAUAACCCCGAUCACCAUGAAAACUGUUGCCGAACAGAUUGUCAAACUGUUUUCUAAAGAACAAGAAUCGGUGUAUUACGUACCCAGGACAAACAAAUUACUCGAAGAUUCGCAAAGUGUACGUAAUAAAGAUAGUUAUUCAAAGGAAUUGAAAUGUUGUAGCAAAGAACUAAAUUCGGUCAAAGAAAAUUCUAUUUGGAACAGCCUAUCUUAUUUUCAUGUCACAGACAAUAGGGCUUGUGAUUUAAUGCACGACAUAUUUUUAGG